CUACGGGUGGCUGCAGUGGGGAAUAUUGGACAAUGGGGGAAACCCUGAUCCAGCAAUGCCGCGUGUGUGAAGAAGGCUUGCGGGUUGUAAAGCACUUUCGGUUGGGAGGACUGCUUCUAGCACUAAUAUUGUUGGAAAUUGACGUUACCUUCAGAAGAAGCACCGGCUAACUCCGUGCCAGCAGCCGCGGUAAUACGGGAGGGUGCAAGCGUUAAUCGGAAUUACUGGGCGUAAAGCGCGCGUAGGCGGCUAGAUCAGUCGGGUGUGAAAGCCCCGGGCUUAACCUGGGAACUGCAUCCGAUACUGUCUAGCUUGAGUACAGGAGAGGAGAGUGGAAUUCCACAUGUAGCGGUGAAAUGCGUAGAUAUGUGGAGGAACACCAAUGGCGAAGGCAGCUCUCUGGCCUGAUACUGACGCUGAGGUGCGAAAGCGUGGGGAGCAAACAGGAUUAGAUACCCUCGUAGUC
rnacentral:rRNA from 1 species